rnacentral:rRNA from 1 species
UGGAGCCUGCGGUUUAAUCGGACUCAACGCCGGGAAACUCACCAGAUAAGACAGCUGAAUGAUAGUCGGGCUGAAGACUCUACUUGACUAGCUGAGAGGAGGUGCAUGGGCCGUCGUCAGUUCGUACUGUGAAGCAUCCUGUUAAGUCAGGCAACGAGCGAGACCCACGCCAACAGUUGCCAGCUCGUCCUCCGGGAUGGUGGGGACACUGUUGGGACCGCCUCUGCUAAAGAGGAGGAAGGAAUGGGCAACGGUAGGUCAGCAUGCCCCGAAUUAUCUGGGCUACACGUGGGCUACAAUGGGUGGGACAAUGGGUAUCGACACCGAAAGGUGAAGGCAAUCUCCUAAACCCAUCCGUAGUUCGGAUUGUGGGCUGCAACUCGCCCACAUGAAGCUGGAAUCUGUAGUAAUCGUGUCUCAAAAUGGCACGGUGAAUAUGUCCCUGCUCCUU